CUACAAAUGAAGAAGUUCAUCUUAGAGCUACAGCAGGAAAGAAAAAGCUUGUGACCUAGGUCGAAAGUCAUCACAAUGCCCUACCAAGCCAAAAAUCCUGUGAGAUCCUUCCUCCAGAAUCAGAGACCAUUUCUCCAGCAAGCUUUUCAACAGGAUUUUAACUCUUCUGUCAGCUGGCAAAAACACUGAACCAGCAGAUUGAAAACACACAGUGUCCCCUAAGAGAAGAUGCUCACCAGAGGACACCCUCAUGGCCCCAGGUGAAUCACCCCCAUCAGCGCAGCACUGCCAGACCUGACAGAGGAGAAGAGAAGCAUGACUGACGUUUCUGUGAAGA